rnacentral:rRNA from 1 species
AUUGAACGCUGGCGGCAGGCCUAACACAUGCAAGUCGAACGGCAGCGGGGGGAAGCUUGCUUCCCCGCCGGCGAGUGGCGGACGGGUGAGUAAUGCCUGGGGAGCUGCCCAAUCGAGGGGGAUACCAGUUGGAAACAACUGCUAAUACCGCAUACGCCCUGAGGGGGAAAGGUGGGGAUCUUCGGACCUAUCGCGAUUGGAUGCACCCAGGGGGGAUUAGCUAGUUGGUGAGGUAACGGCUCACCAAGGCGACGAUCUCUAGCUGGUCUGAGAGGAUGACCAGCCACACUGGAACUGAGACACGGUCCAGACUCCUACGGGAGGCAGCAGUGGGGAGUAUUGCACAAUGGGGGAAACCCUGAUGCAGCCAUGCCGCGUGUGUGAAGAAGGCCUUCGGGUUGUAAAGCACUUUCAGCGAGGAGGAAAGGGUGGCGGCUAAUACCUGUCAUCUGUGACGUUACUCGCAGAAGAAGCACCGGCUAACUCCGUGCCAGCCGCCGCCGUAACAC